UACGUAGGGUGCGAGCGUUGUCCGGAAUUAUUGGGCGUAAAGGGCUCGUAGGCGGUUUGUCGCGUCGGGAGUGAAAACUCAGGGCUUAACCCUGAGCCUGCUCCCGAUACGGGCGGACUAGAGGUAUGCAGGGGAGAGCGGAACUCCUGGUGUAGCGGUGGAAUGCGCAGAUAUCAGGAAGAACACCGGUGGCGAAGGCGGCUCUCUGGGCCUUACCUGACGCUGAGGAGCGAAAGCCAGGGGAGCAAACGGG
rnacentral:rRNA from 1 species